rnacentral:rRNA from 1 species
CGCGCGUAGGUGGUUAAUUAAGUCAAAUGUGAAAUCCCCGAGCUUAACUUGGGAAUUGCAUUCGAUACUGGUUAGCUAGAGUAUGGGAGAGGAUGGUAGAAUUCCAGGUGUAGCGGUGAAAUGCGUAGAGAUCUGGAGGAAUACCGAUGGCGAAGGCAGCCAUCUGGCCUAAUACUGACACUGAGGUGCGAAAGCAUGGGGAGCAAACAGGAUUAGAUACCCUGGUAGUCCAUGCCGUAAACGAUGUCUACUAGCCGUUGGGGGAUUUGAUCCUUUAGUGGCGCAGCUAACGCGAUAAGUAGACCGCCUGGGGAGUACGGUCGCAAGACUAAAACUCAAAUGAAUUGACGGGGGCCCGCACAAGCGGUGGAGCAUGUGGUUUAAUUCGAUGCAACGCGAAGAACCUUACCUGGCCUUGACAUAGUAGAAACUUUCCAGAGAUGGAUUGGUGCCUUCGGGAAUCUACAUACAGGUGCUGCAUGGCUGUCGUCAGCUCGUGUCGUGAGAUGUUGGGUUAAGUCCCGCAACGAGCGCAACCCUUUUCCUUACUUGCCAGCAUUUCGGAUGGGAACUUUAAGGAUACUGCCAGUGACAAACUGGAGGAAGGCGGGGACGACGUCAAGUCAUCAUGGCCCUUACGGCCAGGGCUACACACGUGCUACAAUGGUCGGUACAAAGGGUUGCUACACAGCGAUGUGAUGCUAAUCUCAAAAAGCCGAUCGUAGUCCGGAUCGCAGUCUGCAACUCGACUGCGUGAAGUCGGAAUCGCUAGUAAUCGCGGAUCAGAAUGCCGCGGUGAAUACGUUCCCGG